ensembl:lncRNA ZNF503-AS1 ZNF503 antisense RNA 1
AGGAUUUGCUGGAGGAGACCGGAAGGGCAGUGGCUUCUGAGCCAUUGGCCCCUUUCACGUUGCUUCUCAUCUGUAACUGGUGAAGCCCGGAAGAGCUUGUUGUUCAAGAGGAAAUCUUGUGUUACUUCUUUAUGAAGGACUCCAGCCUGGUGGAGAUGAAUGAGUCCUGAAGAUGGAAUCGAAGCUGUUUGGGCACAAUACUUUAAUCAGCAUUUAAUGACCCAGUCGAAAAUUCAUUGUUUGGACCCAAGCACUGGUGGGAAAGGCAGGAGGGGAGGCCUGCCUUCCUUCCUCCCUCCCGAGCCCUACAGCAGGCCAUGGAGUGGUGAGCGAGUUCGUACAGUGCCAACCACAUUCCCAGAAACUUCCAGCAGAGGUUAAUCCUGCUCCUCUCAGGUGGGCUUGGCCCAUUCUCUAGACUUUGGAAGGUAAUGUUCUAUAGAGGCCUGUUCUGAAGCUUUACCAGGUCAAACCGGAGAAGAACCCAACAAGUAACUCAUCCCAGCCUAACUAUUCUUCAAGGGCAAUCAACCUACAGCAUCCAAGCACAGAGAAAUCAAAUCCAUGGAGAAUCUUCAAAUUAGGCUCAGAAUCCAUUUGGGUCAAUGAAUUUACUGUUAUUAAGAUCUUAGUUGUGUUCAACCAUGAUUUGACAUACCUUAGAGUGAGAAGAUAUUCUUCCUGGCCUCAGACUAGUUGAAGGUAGAGAGAGAGACAGGCCCUUGGGUGUGGGGAGACCUCUCCUGGGAUAAUACACACAAAAAACCAAGAGCUGCUCACUGUGGUGCAGGAGACAGCAGGGCCUGAAGCCAGAGGCUCUGUGUCCUUGAAUACAAUGUUUUACUCCUCUGACCCCUGUUACUGUGAUUUGGAGAGGCAGACAAUAUAGGAUGGGCUUUGCAGGCAGGGAGGUCCAGUUAUAAUCCCAGCUCUUACUAAGUUGGGUAAGACUCACUCUGAGACUUAGUUUCUUCUGUCAUCUCUCAAUAGAAUCAUAAAGGUACUUUCCUCUUAGUGUUGUUUUAAAAUUCAGUAAAAUAAUGCAGGCUUAGCACAGGGUCUGAUGUAAAUUUUCAAUGAAUUAUCGUUGUCAAUAUUGUUCUGGAAAACAAGAGGGCAUAUUAGAAGAUCAAAAGUACUGCCAAGCAUUGAAGUGCCAAUUCUAGAUCCAGUCUCAGCCCUCUGAGAAUGGAUAUCAUUGUUUUCAAGCCAUUCAGAAACCAAUGUGAAUUGAACACCUAGUAUGAGCUCUCUGAGGGAAGAGCCAAGUCAUGCAUUUUUUAUCUUAAGGGGUCUUCAAUACCUCUAGCCCAAAACAGUAUCUCCAUCAGGAUUCUUCUCUGAUAGUGUUCAUUUCUUUUUUCUCAAUGGAUGCCUUAAAAAAAAAAUCCUACAAGGAAACCUGUACUCCUCAAAUACACCACUCAGGUGACCAUUAAAUCAUUUACAUUGUUAA